GUGAAAAGCAGCUUUGUGCCUGCGGUGGUCUGUGAGCAGUGCAGAGAGAGAGGUGGCAUUUGGGACACGGGGUGGCUCUUCACUGGGGGCCCUUCAGUGCCGGGAUGCAGAGCUGUGAAAUGGGUGCCAGCGUGACCGCCCAGGACAUCUGCAGCUCCCCUGGUGAUGGUGACCUCCCUGCUCCUCAUCUGAGCCAGGAUUUAUCACAUGCUCAUCCUGGCGACACGGUUCUGGCUGGGUGCUUCAUCCUGACUGGUUCCCCUGCUACCCGAAUUGUCUUCUGCAAGGAUGGGGUGGAGGAGUAGAGCCUGAAAGUCCAACAGGGGCAGCUGAGCUACUUUGUGCUGCUGAACGUCACCCUGGGCAGCGCAGGGACGUACGCGUGUGGGUACCAGCACAGGAACGAGAGCAACUGGGUGAGGAGCUCUGCCCUCAGCGCUCCCCGGCACCUGGCUGUCCCAGAUGUCUCUAGGGUGAUAUCCCUUCCCAGGGGGUCUCCGUCUCUCUCCAUCUCACACUUCUGCUGCAGACAUGGGACUCAGCAGUGCCCAGGAUCAGAAAGCCAGGGCUGGGGCUGCUGGAAGAGCUUGGGAUGCACCAGGGAUGCUCCAAGGUCUCCCAUGUAACUCUAUGAGCUGACAUCAGGGAAACCGGGGAGAGUUGCAUGAGCUGGGUGGUUCCCCAGGAGCCUGAUGAAGCCAGACAUGAGCUGGGGUUUCUGCUCGGUGUCUGGGAUGGUCCCAGUGCAGGACAGUGAGACUCACAAGGUCUGCAUUUCUCUGACAGGCAGCAGCCCCUCACCAGGAACAGGGCUCCCACACGGAGGGCCAGCCAUACCCCUCUGGAUCUGGAUCCUGUGCUCUGCCCUCACUCUGCUCCUCCUGGUUUCUGCCCCCAUCAUCACCCUCAUCCUGGAGAGAUGCAGCCACUCGGCCACUGGGACUGGCCACUCUGGAGACGUCCCUCUCCCCACUGUCAUCUGAUGCCCUCACUUCCCUGGGCUCCCUGCUGUCCCCAUGUCACGUGUGACGUGGGACUUCUACCUUCUACCACCCCCAGGCUUCCAGUUUGGGUCUGGUCACUGAGGGUCUCAUGCCCAAGGGACGUGCUCCCAUCGCUCUGCUCUCUUUUGCUCAGCCCCUGCUCUCUCCUCUGAUCAAGGACCCUGGAAUC